rnacentral:rRNA from 1 species
UACGAAGGGGCUAGCGUUGUUCGGAAUUAUUGGGCGUAAAGAGCUCGUAGGUGGCUGGUCGCGUCUGCCGUGAAAGCCCGCAGCUUAACUGCGGGUCUGCGGUGGAUACGGGCCGGCUAGAGGUAGGUAGGGGCAGUGGAAUUCCUGGUGUAGCGGUGAAAUGCGUAGAUAUCUGAGGAACACCGGUGCGAAGGCGGCGAUCCUGGACCGGCAUUGACGCUGAGGC